rnacentral:rRNA from 1 species
AAUAGAUACCCGGGUAGUCCACGCCGUAAACGAUGAGUGCUAAGUGUUAGAGGGUUUCCGCCCUUUAGUGCUGCAGCUAACGCAUUAGGCACUCCGCCUGGGGAGUACGGUCGCAAGACUGAAACUCAAAGGAAUUGACGGGGGCCCGCACAAGCGGUGGAGCAUGUGGUUUAAUUCGAAGCAACGCGAAGAACCUUACCAGGUCUUGACAUCCUCUGACAACUCUAGAGAUAGAGCGUUCCCCUUCGGGGGACAGAGUGACAGGUGGUGCAUGGUUGUCGUCAGCUCGUGUCGUGAGAUGUUGGGUUAAGUCCCGCAACGAGCGCAACCCUUGAUCUUAGUUGCCAGCAUUUAGUUGGGCACUCUAAGGUGACUGCCGGUGACAAACCGGAGGAAGGUGGGGAUGACGUCAAAUCAUCAUGCCCCUUAUGACCUGGGCUACACACGUGCUACAAUGGAUGGUACAAAGAGCUGCGAACCCGCGAGGGUAAGCGAAUCUCAUAAAGCCAUUCUCAGUUCGGAUUGUAGG